ACCGCGUAUUUACAAAAAUGUCACCGCGUCCCUCCAAAACUACGUCGUUUUGAUAAAAGAAUGCUAUUUAAGACAGAAUGCUAUUUAAGGAGAAUGCUCUUGAUCCUAACCGUAUAUAUAUAUAUAUAAUGCAUCCAUAUAUCUAUUAUUAUUGCCCUACCUAUACAGUGCUCCACUGUUUGCUGAGUACAAAAUCAUGAUACUCGUGCAUAAAUCCAUGUGAGGCUGGCUACCCUUUUCACCAUCACUUCACAUGCCACAGAGACGCCACUUUUUAUUGCACUAGAAGAAUCAAAAAGAUAGUAGUAUCAAAAAGAAUAUUUGAAUCACUGAAAUACCCUUUGUAUUCUCUGCAGAUUGCGGGAGUAAUCUUGCCAUCUGCCGUGACAGGCUUUCGUCAUGCUCUUAACCGAAAUAUAAAUUUUAUAAAAGUGCUCGUGUAUGCAACAAACAUCCAGCCCCACCACCUACGAAAAAGAACAAAUACGAGGGAAAAAAAAAUAUGAUCAUCUUUACCAGAAUUAAUUACCGCAUUAAACCAGAACAGAUUCCCUUGGAUAUGUUAUCAUCUUAAAAGGCUUGCUUUCGAUCUGUUUAAUUCUUACCUUGGAACAGGAAAAUCUAGGAGGCUUGCAGCUCCACCUGCAAUGAGGCUGAUGAGUAUACAAUCUAUACAUGCAGUCUAUCCAACACAAAAUUAUGAGAUAAUUAAUCCCUAUUCCCAGUAAAACUGGAAAAAAGAUAUAUCUAUUUAGUUAAGUUGACCGAUGAAUGUAAAGGUAUCCACCAAUCUCAGUUAUUCAUUUUAGAUAGAAAAAGAAUUUUUCUUAGAAAGAUUAAUGAGAUUACAAGCAAUAGGGAACAAGGAGUCCUCCCAUCCUAUAACAAGUAGAAAGAAGAAAAUUCAAAAAAUGAGCAGUUUUACAAAAAAAAAAUCAUACAGAUCAGAGACUGAAAAUGCAAUUAAAGGCACCAUUGCAGAGGCCCUUUAAUAAAUUUAAAAAAAACAAUAAAAAAAAUAUCCUAUCUCCGGCAAAGCUAAAGAUGACUAAUUUUUCCUUAAAAUUUAAGCAUUACACGUCUGGGCAUUUGAGAAAAUAGAAACCUUAAAGUAGAGGCAUGUAAACGUGGAAAGCCACACAGGUAACAUUACACACAGCUGCCUUUAGGAAUUCUCACCACAAAAAUAAUGUCAGUUUGGUGCAACCUAAUGAAAACUAACAAAAAUUAUCUUUGCAGGCUAUUUGAUGAUAUGAUACAGUCUGAGGCCAUGUGGACAUAAACCAGUUAACGAUAUUAGCAUAAUAAGUACACGUCCAAGUUGUCUGCGAAAAAGGGAGGUGUCAGAAUCUCAUGAAUAUAGAGGAGAAUGGAAAUUUUAGGAAACCUUAACCAAUCUGAACCUGAAUUUGAUAAUCAACGUGGUAUGUGAAAUUGAAUUCCCUCGCUGCAAAUCAUAUGUAAUUGCGGUCUUCAAUUCUUGUGAAUGUUUGAAAAUGCUCUCCAAUUAUUGACCCAGCAAUACUUUCGAGAGGAUUGAAAUUCUGUAGUGUCAUUUUAGCUAUGAGAAAAAAGUAAAUUAAAACAACUAUAUUCAAAAUUAGUCUAACAUAAACAACAAAAGUGUAACAGAUAAGGGUUGAAAAGGUUACAAAUUCUUUCAUGUUAACAAUAUAUCAUGACAGAAGUGCUGCUUGUUUUAAAAAAAAAAAACUUGUCAACUUGAACAACAUAAGAACCAUUGCAACUUUUCUAUUGCUAUCACUUUAUAGACUAGGGUAUUGUUCAUCAAACUUGCAUUAGUUUAUGUGAUAUAGAGCAUUUGAAUGAGCAGUAAAUAUCACUUUAUUAGAACAUUUAUUGGUACUCAAUAUUCAACCUCAUACGAACAGCUGACUACAUGCCACAACCAAGAAAUAUAAAGGGGAAAAAAGAAAUUGCAGGAUCGAGGUAAGAAAAGUCCAGUCAUCGCUUUGAUAUCAAGGGAUUCAAACUAAGAUUAUUACUGUAGACCUAAUUUGAGAAUGGGAAGUGAAUAGCCAAGAAUGUUCAACUCUGCAAUCAGAAAACCCACAAGGUUCAGUUUUGUCAGUGUUGUCUUCUUACUAUAAGCCUCGUGGUGAGUUGAUCAGCAAAAAUGCGUAUGUAAAAGACAACAUAAGUUAUGCAUUCUUGUACCUUCACAACUAAUUAAAAUAUACAUUUAACUACAGUCUAAAAUGCAUUAUAUUUGUUUCAAAACCCCAUAUUUCAUCCAUCCCACUGAUUAGAUGGAAGAGGCUUCAAUGUAUCUUUACUUAUUGUGUGAGAUUUUUAACUCAUGGAAAAAGCAUUGCAAUCGAAUUAGAAUCAUGAGAUUCUAAGCUUUAUUAUCUGGCCGAAUAAUGCCAACAUGUUUUGUUCAUACCAUGCAUAGUCCUCACACAACACCGUGUUAUGGAUUUUAAAUUUUAAACCAUAACUUGAUUUGCCUCUAAUUUACUAGAGUAACUAAGAUGUAUUUGAGCAUAAACCUUUCAACGCUGUGACUACAUUCUUAGAAAGAGAAAAAAGUCUAAUUUCUUAUUUGAAGGAUUUCCUUUGCUUUUGAGCCAAAAUAACAAGAAUUUACUCCAAGUAUGUUUCAGAUAAAGGAGAAGGCAACAAAGUUAGAAGCUAUAAUUUCUAUUAACAGUUGUAGUUUAGCAGGUAAAAAUUGCUUGUAGCCAAGGAGCUAUAGUAACAAAACUAUUUAUAGUUGAUACAAACAAGAAAUUAAAUUGCGAAGUUGUGGAUAGUAUCUGAUAGUUCUGACUUCUGAAGCAUGGUAUGGAAAAAUCUUCAGUUCACGCUCACUUUUAAUGCCUAGUAUGCGUUGUGACAUAGAAAAAAAAAUUAAACUAAUCCCUUCAUGGCAAAAUAUGUGGAAAUUCAGCAAUAUGAAAUUAAACUUCCUAUGCUAGUUGUUUGCCAUAUAUAUGCAAUUUUAGUUUAGGAUAUAAAAUAAGUUUAAAACAAGCCACGGAUGAAUCCUUCUAGGGCUAUGAGCGGCCAGGCCCAAACUGUUCACAUGAGCUGUUAGCCAACCAGAGGCAGCUAUUAUAACAUAUAAGCAAUCAUAUUGGGAUUUCAUCAUAGUAAUUAAAGAAAGCCACUAUUUUAAUAAUUUGAUAACAUUCGUUUGAACUUUGUCAAUUUAGCAUCAACCCACUUUAGCUAGUAAUAUCAUAAUAUGGGAAUGUGAAUCAAUGCAAGUUCAGUUCUUAAGUUAGUAUAGAACAUAAACAAAUAGAAACCACCAAAUUCAAAAGACUAUAUAACUUUGGCUGUGUGCAAUUGAGAAUUGGAUACCUCAAUCAUUGUAACAGCUAGGUAUGUCAUCAAAAAACACAUUUUUACAUACUUCAAAAUAAAGGUAGAAGGUGGGUUUUGAUCACCUGGGAAAACCACUGGAAGCUAGGAGAGGGCGUCAGCGAGGUGGAUGGGUAUUUGAAAAUUUAAAGGUAUUGUGGAUUGGUAGUUACAGUAGAGGAUUUUAUGGAUGAAUUUUUGACUUGGAUGAUAUGUUUGAUGGAGAAUUAGGGUUUCCUUCGGACUGGGAUUCUUCCCAUGGAGUCGGUGGUACGUUUGAUAACACUUAUCUCAACCAUUACACUCUAAAUUAA
rnacentral:lncRNA from 1 species